rnacentral:rRNA from 1 species
AAACCAGCACCUCAAGUGGUCAGGAUGAUUAUUGGGCCUAAAGCAUCCGUAGCCUGCUCUGUAAGUUUCCGGUUAAAUCCAUUAGCUUAACUGAUGGGCCGCCGGAAAAACUGCAAAGCUAGGGAGUGGGAGAGGUAGACGGUACUCGGUAGGAAGGGGUAAAAUCCUUUGAUCUAUUGAUGACCACCUGUGGCGAAGGCGGUCUACCAGAACACGUUCGACGGUGAGGGAUGAAAGCUGGGGGAGCAAACCGGAUUAGAAACCCGUGUAGUCC